rnacentral:rRNA from 1 species
UACGUAGGGUGCAAGCGUUAAUCGGAAUUACUGGGCGUAAAGGGCGCGUAGGCGGCCUGUUAAGUCGAACGUGAAAUCCCCGGGCUCAACCCGGGAACUGCGUCCGAUACUGGCAGGCUUGAAUCCGGGAGAGGGAUGCGGAAUUCCAGGUGUAGCGGUGAAAUGCGUAGAUAUCUGGAGGAACACCGGUGGCGAAGGCGGCAUCCUGGACCGGUAUUGACGCUGAGGCGCGGAAAGCCAGGGGAGCCAAAGCGGG